rnacentral:rRNA from 1 species
AUUGAACGCUGGCGGCAUGCUUUACACAUGCAAGUCGAACGGUAACAGGCCGCAAGGUGCUGACGAGUGGCGAACGGGUGAGUAAUGCAUCGGAACGUGCCCAGUCGUGGGGGAUAACGCAGCGAAAGCUGUGCUAAUACCGCAUACGAUCUAUGGAUGAAAGCGGGGGACCGUAAGGCCUCGCGCGAUUGGAGCGGCCGAUGUCAGAUUAGGUAGUUGGUGGGGUAAAGGCCUACCAAGCCAACGAUCUGUAGCUGGUCUGAGAGGACGACCAGCCACCCUGGGACUGAGACACGGGCCAGACUCCUACGGGAGGCAGCAGUUGGGAAUUUUGGACAAUGGGCGCAAGCCUGAUCCAGCAAUGCCGCGUGCAGGAAGAAGGCCUUCGGGUUGUAAACUGCUUUUGUACGGAACGAAACGGUCUGGGUUAAUACCCCGGGCUAAUGACGGUACCGUAAGAAUAAGCACCGGCUAACUACGUGCCAGCCGCCGCAGUAAGAC